GACGAACGCUGGCGGCGUGCCUAAUACAUGCAAGUAGAACGCUGAAGGAGGAGCUUGCUUCUCUGGAUGAGUUGCGAACGGGUGAGUAACGCGUAGGUAACCUGCCUGUUAGCGGGGGUUAACUAUUGGAAACGAUAGCUAAUACCGCAUAAGAGUAGAUGUUGCAUGACAUUUGCUUAAAAGGUGCAAUUGCAUCACUACCAGAUGGACCUGCGUUGUCUUAGCUAGUUGGUGGGGUAACGGCUUAACAACGCGACGAUACAUAGCCGGCCUGAGAGGGUGGUCGGCCACACUGGGAAUGAGACAAGGGCCAGACUCCUACGGGAGGCAGCAGUAGGGAAUCUUCGGCAAUGGACGGAAGUCUGACCGAGCAAAGCCGCGGGAGUGAAGAAGGUUUUCGGAUCGGAAAGCUCUGUUGUAAGAGAAGAACGAGUGUGAGAGUGGAAAGUUCACACUGUGACGGUAUCUUACCAGAAAGGGACGGCUAACUACGUG
rnacentral:rRNA from 1 species